GUCGAGCGAACGGACGAGAAGCUUGCUUCUCUGAUGUUAGCGGCGGACGGGUGAGUAACACGUGGAUAACCUACCUAUAAGACUGGGAUAACUUCGGGAAACCGGAGCUAAUACCGGAUAAUAUUUUGAACCGCAUGGUUCAAAAGUAAAAGACGGUCUUGCUGUCACUUAUAGAUGGAUCCGCGCUGCAUUAGCUAGUUGGUAAGGUAACGGCUUACCAAGGCAACGAUGCAUAGCCGACCUGAGAGGGUGAUCGGCCACACUGGAACUGAGACACGGUCCAGACUCCUACGGGAGGCAGCAGUAGGGAAUCUUCCGCAAUGGGCGAAAGCCUGACGGAGCAACGCCGCGUGAGUGAUGAAGGUCUUCGGAUCGUAAAACUCUGUUAUUAGGGAAGAACAUAUGUGUAAGUAACUGUGCACAUCUUGACGGUACCUAAUCAGAAAGCCACGGCUAACUACGUGCCAGCAGCCGCGGUAAUACGUAGGUGGCAAGCGUUAUCCGGAAUUAUUGGGCGUAAAGCGCGCGUAGGCGGUUUUUUAAGUCUGAUGUGAAAGCCCACGGCUCAGCCGUGGAGGGUCAUUGGAAACUGGAAAACUUGAGUGCAGAAGAGGAAAGUGGAAUUCCAUGUGUAGCGG
rnacentral:rRNA from 1 species